rnacentral:sRNA from 1 species
GAAAAAAACCCUGCAUCUUCUGAACUUGAAGAACCAAGUUUAGUUUGUGAGGAAGAUGAAAUUAUGAGGUCUAAAGAAAGUCCAGAUCUUUCUAUUUCUCAUUCUCAGGUUGAGCAGUUAGUCAAUAAAACAUCUGAACUUGGUAUGUCUGAAAGCAAAACAAGAAGUGGAAAAGUCUUUCAGAAUAAAAUGGCAAAUGGAAAUCAACCAGUAAAAUCUUCCAAAGAAAAUCGGAAGAGAAGUCAACAUGAAUCUGGGAGAAUACAGCCCUACUGAAGAUUAUACAUUUUGCAAGUACAUACUUUCAGCAGCCAUUGGAAGAUGUUAAUAAUAAAUUUUACUCUACUUUUAAGAAACCCAGAUAUAGUUAUGCUAGGUCCUCCAUCACUUUGAUUCUCCUAGUCAAGAGUCAGUGCCAAAAAGGAGAAAGUUUAGUGAACCAAAGGAACAUAUAUAAAAAUUAUUUUUGUUCUGCAGGCUUGCAGAGUUCUUCUCAACAUUUAAACUGAAGGACCCUAUAUUAUAUUUCCCUAACUCUGAAGAUGUAUAUAUAGUUUAAAGCAGUUUGUACACUAAAACUAAGUUUUUGGCUGACUGUCAUAUUGUGGUCCUUAAUCUUGAGAUAAAUCCAAUAGAACUUUUGAAUAAAAGCAAAAGUACAAAUGUCAUAAUUGAUUCAGUAAUAAGUAAAAUUUCAAAAUUGAUUUUGUUCAUUACCUA